CGCAACUGAAAAGGGAACGGUCUGCCAGCAGCGGCGGCAGCCGUCCCUCGCAACUCUGCUCGCUCCUCUGUGCGCCUCUGCUGUGCGAACACCCAACAAACUGCCUUCGUUUGUAGGUUGAGAGCAUUGCAUGGCUUAAGAAGAAAUUAUGUCUUUCAGGAAGAGUGAGAUAAAUUGGCUGGCUGAAGAGCGACAUGUUUGAGAGCGAAUAUUGGAUAGAUGAAGAACAGGCAGCAGAGAAUUGUUUAUCUCCAUGAAACAAUCACACAUUCAUAAUGCAUAGCAGGAGAGGCACAGAGGAUUGCUGGCAGGUGGGCUGAAACAAGAAGUUAAAUACAUCUCUACACAAAUGCUGGUUUUCUAAACAGUAAAUGAACAUGCCCAGUUGACUCACCCAUGUGUGAGCACAAUUAUUCUGCUUUCUCAAGCAUAUGAAAAUGAUGGUCUCAGGCCUGUAGAUGUUAGGCAGCCAAAUAUCUCCAAGAAGAGCAUGUGGUUGGCUUGAUGCUGAUUAUUGCAAAGAUUAUUGAUUUUAUAAAUGUAAGUGAGCAAUCGUC